AUUGAACGCUGGCGGCAGGCCUAACACAUGCAAGUCGAGCGAGCGGCGGACGGGUGAGUAAUGUAUGGGGACUGCCCGAUAGAGGGGGGUAAAUACUUGAAACGGUGGCUAAUACCCCAUACUGCCGGACAAUCCCUAUGGGAUUAGCUAGUAGGUAGGGUAAUGGCUUACCUAGGCCACGAUCCCUAGCUGGUCUGAGAGGAUGAUCAGCCACACGGGAACUGAGACACGGCCCAGACUCCUACGGAGGCAGCAGUGGGGAAUAUUGCACAAUGGGCGCAAGCCUGAUGCAGCCAUGCCGCGUGUAUGAAGAAGGCCCUAGGGUUGUAAAGUACUUUCAGUCGGGAGGCGUUACCGACAGAAGAAGCACCGGCUAACUCCGUGCCAGCAGCCGCGGUAAUUC
rnacentral:rRNA from 1 species